rnacentral:rRNA from 1 species
AUUGAACGCUGGCGGCAGGCCUAACACAUGCAAGUCGAGCGGAAGAAGGGUGCUUGCUCCUGGAUUCAGCGGGGGACGGGCGAGUAAUGCCUAGGAAUCUGCCUGGCAGCGGGGGAUAACGUCCGGAAACGGGCGCUAAUACCCCAUACGUCCUGACGGAGAAAGGGGGGGAUCUUCGGAUCUUCCGCCCUUAGAUGAGCCUAGGUCGGAUUAGCUAGUUGGUGGGGUAAAGGCCUACCAAGGCGACGAUCCGUAGCUGGUCUGAGAGGAUGAUCAGUCACACUGGAACUGAGACACGGUCCAGACUCCUACGGGAGGCAGCAGUGGGGAAUAUUGGACAAUGGGCGAAAGCCUGAUCCAGCCAUGCCGCGUGUGUGAAGAAGGUCUUCGGAUUGUAAAGCACUUUUGGUUGGAAGGAAGAGCAGUAAGUUAAUACCUUGCUGUUUUGACGUUACCAAAAGAAUAAGCACCGGCUAACUUCGUG